CAAGUCGAACGCGGUUACCCCGCAAGGGGUAACUGAGUGGCAAACGGGUGAGUAACACGUGGGUGACCUGCCUUCGAGUGGGGGAUAACGUUUCGAAAGGAACGCUAAUACCGCAUGACAUCCUGCUUUUGAACAGGCGGAGAUCAAAGCCGGGGAUCGCAAGACCUGGCGCUUGAAGAGGGGCCCGCGUCCGAUUAGCUAGUUGGUGGGGUAACGGCUCACCAAGGCGACGAUCGGUAUCCGGCCUGAGAGGGCGGACGGACACACUGGGACUGAGACACGGCCCAGACUCCUACGGGAGGCAGCAGUGGGGAAUUGUUCGCAAUGGGCGCAAGCCUGACGACGCAACGCCGCGUGGAGGAUGAAGGUCUUCGGAUUGUAAACUCCUGUUGAUCGGGACGAACAACCAUCGGGAUAACACCCCGGAGGUCUGACGGUACCGAUUGAGGAAGCCCCGGCUAACUCUGUGCCAGCAGCCGCGGUAAUACAGAGGGGGCAAGCGUUGUUCGGAAUUACUGGGCGUAAAGGGCGCGUAGGCGGCCGCCUAAGUCAGACGUGAAAUCCCUCGGCUCAACCGGGGAACUGCGUCUGAUACUGGGUGGCUUGAAUCCGGGAGAGGGAUGCGGAAUUCCAGGUGUAGCGGUGAAAUGCGUAGAUAUCUGGAGGAACACCGGUGGCGAAGGCGGCAUCCUGGACCGGUAUUGACGCUGAGGCGCGAAAGCCAGGGGAGCAAACGGGAUUAGAUACCCCGGUAGUCCUGGCCCUAAACGAUGAGUGCUUGGUGUGGCGGGUAUCGAUCCCUGCCGUGCCGAAGCUAACGCAUUAAGCACUCCGCCUGGGGAGUACGGUCGCAAGGCUGAAACUCGAAGGAAUUGACGGGGGCCCGCACAAGCGGUGGA
rnacentral:rRNA from 1 species